rnacentral:rRNA from 1 species
GAGCGGUAGAGAGAAGCUUGCUUCUCUUGAGAGCGGCGGACGGGUGAGUAAUGCCUAGGAAUCUGCCUGGUAGUGGGGGAUAACGUUCGGAAACGGACGCUAAUACCGCAUACGUCCUACGGGAGAAAGCAGGGGACCUUCGGGCCUUGCGCUAUCAGAUGAGCCUAGGUCGGAUUAGCUAGUUGGUGGGGUAAUGGCUCACCAAGGCGACGAUCCGUAACUGGUCUGAGAGGAUGAUCAGUCACACUGGAACUGAGACACGGUCCAGACUCCUACGGGAGGCAGCAGUGGGGAAUAUUGGACAAUGGGCGAAGGCCUGAUCCAGCCAUGCCGCGUGUGUGAAGAAGGUCUUCGGAUUGUAAAGCACUUUAAGUUGGGAGGAAGGGUUGUAGAUUAAUACUCUGCAAUUUUGACGUUACCGACAGAAUAAGCACCGGCUAACUCUGUG